AAAAGUCCAUAAUCCGUUAGAACACCGUGAACCAUUACUGUAUAGAUCUGCAAAGAUAAACCAUUGGUGCUACAUUGUAAGGAGUUUGCAGGAUGGGAAGACUGCCUGGGCCCGAGGAAGACCGAUCUCUUCGAAUACUGUGAGAACCGGGUCUGAGAAUACCUUACCCUUGGACUAAGAUCAAGAAAAGAAAACUCCAAACUUUUCUCAGAGCAAAUGCAAAUAAAUUUUGAGUGCAGUCUUUAGUUCCGAAGAAC
rnacentral:lncRNA from 1 species